UACCUACAGGCAACUGCUCUCACCACAG
rnacentral:piRNA from 1 species